rnacentral:rRNA from 1 species
UACAGAGGUCCCAAGCGUUGUUCGGAUUCAUUGGGCGUAAAGGGUGUGUAGGUGGCGCCGUAAGUCGGGUGUGAAAUCUCACAGCUUAACUGUGAAACUGCGCUUGAUACUGCUCAGCUAGAGGAUCGGAGGGGGUAACGGAAUUUAUGGUGUAGCAGUGAAAUGCGUAGAUAUCAUAAGGAACACCGGUGGCGAAGGCGGUUACCUGGAAGAUUCCUGACUCUGAAACACGAAAGCCAGGGGAGCAAACGGG